UACGGAGGGUGCAAGCGUUGUCCGGAAUCACUGGGCGUAAAGGGCGCGUAGGCGGCCUGGUAAGUAGGGGGUGAAAUCCUGCGGCUUAACCGCAGGGCUGCCUUCUAAACUGUCAGGCUUGAGCACGUUAGAGGCAGAUGGAAUUCCCGGUGUAGCGGUGGAAUGCGUAGAGAUCGGGAAGAACAUCAGUGGCGAAGGCGGUCUGCUGGGCCGUUGCUGACGCUGAGGCGCGACAGCGUGGGGAGCAAACAGG
rnacentral:rRNA from 1 species